AACGAACGCUGGCGGCGUGCCUAACACAUGCAAGUCGAACGUGAUUGGGGAGCUUGCUCCUCAUGAAAGUGGCGCACGGGUGAGUAACGCGUAGAUAAUCUACCUGAUGAUUCGGGAUAACACUUCGAAAGGGGUGCUAAUACGGGAUAAGCCCACGGAGUCUUUGGACACUGCGGGAAAAGGAGGGGACCUUCGGGCCUUCCGUCAUCAGAUGAGUCUGCGUACCAUUAGCUAGUUGGUAGGGUAAAGGCCUACCAAGGCGACGAUGGUUAGCUGGUCUGAGAGGAUGAUCAGCCACACUGGAACUGAGACACGGUCCAGACUCCUACGGGAGGCAGCAGUGGGGAAUUUUGCGCAAUGGGGGAAACCCUGACGCAGCAACGCCGCGUGAGUGAUGAAGGCCCUUGGGUCGUAAAGCUCUGACAGAGGGAAAGAAAUGGGGGUGGCUAAUAUCCAUUCCACUUGACGGUACCCUCAAAGGAAGCACCGGCUAACUCCGUGCCAGCCGCCGCCGUAACAC
rnacentral:rRNA from 1 species